GGCCAGUUAGCUCAGUUGGUUAGAGCAUGGUGCUAACAACACCAAGGUUGCAGGUUCCAAACAUGCACGGGCCA